rnacentral:rRNA from 1 species
CCUGGGCGGGCUCGCCCGCCACCAGGACCAACCAUAAACCUUUUUGUAAUAGCAAUCCGCGUCAGUAAACAAUGUAAUCAAUUACAACUUUCAACAACGGAUCUCUUGGUUCUGGCAUCGAUGAAGAACGCAGCGAAAUGCGAUACGUAGUGUGAAUUGCAGAAUUCAGUGAAUCAUCGAAUCUUUGAACGCACAUUGCGCCCUUUGGUAUUCCAAAGGGCAUGCCUGUUCGAGCGUCAUUUGUACCCUCAAGCUUUGCUUGGUGUUGGGCGUCUUUUGUCUCCAGCUUGCUGGAGACUCGCCUUAAAGUCAUUGGCAGCCGGCCUACUGGUUUCGGAGCGCAGCACAAGUCGCGCUCUCUUCCAGCCAAGGUCAGCGUCCAGCAAGCCUUUUUUUCAACCUUUGACCUCGGAUCAGGUAGGGAUACCCGCUGAACUUAAGCAUAUCAAUAAGCGGAGGA